GACAAUUUAGCUAAUUUUAUUAUAUUUUCCUAUUACAGAUUUCUUAUAAUAGACGUCCUGAAAACUAACUACUUUUUUCAAUAUUCUAUAAACGUACUUACCUAGCAAUUGGCAGCUUCUGGGGGUGGGGAGAGCACAAGCCAGCUCCUUUAAGAAGAAAAGGUAUCUCUUUGUGUUUGUCCUUCUGAGUUUCUUUAUCCCUGGUGAGGCUGGUCACCCCACACUCGCUGCUGCCUUCUCCACGUCUGUCCUCAUCAUACCCCUGCACGUUUUUAUGGAAGUAGUCAUGAAAAAUGUGAAUCUUGAGCUCAGCUUUGAGUCUCUCUGGGUGUGCAACUUUUGACUUCCACUUCCUGAUUGCACACUCCUAAACCGCUGAUUUACAAUAUCGUUCCCUCAACAGAGGACAGCAAUAAACAGGGCCGUAGGAGACAGUGUUAGGGAGUGUAGCAAAUACUGGGCAUUGGAUAAAUGACAGAGCAUAUUACGCCUCUUUGUGCAUUUUUUUUUCCUUUGUAACAAACCCUCUUCUCCUAAUGACCUGCCCUUCCUUCCCGGAGUGUCAUUUAGGCCAGUGGCCUCACUCAGCUCUAGAGCUAGAUCCAGUUCAGCCAUCGGCCAGACCUUGUUAACCUGAACAACUAAAUAGCCGUGUCUGCUACAAAAUGCACGACGCAUUUGAGGUCUACAUAUGCAGUAUAAUCUGAAUACCAAGUGAGUCAUUGACCAACGCGUUUGAGCAGCCAGUGCUGACUACAACUGCCUGUGAGGUGGGCUGGUGUAAGCGGCAGAGGAGGAAAACCCAGCCUAGAAUGGAGCGCCUGCCCCAAAGCAAAGGAGCCUGCUUUCACUUUCAUUUUCUCCUCCCUUGUUCUAGAGAGCUGCCCCAGAAGCAGAGCCCAUAAAUACAGUGAUUGGACGGUGACAACCUUAGGGGAUCACAGGGCUGCCGCGCAAAUCCCCAGGCUUUCUCAUUCCCUCCCCAACCCCAAGAGAUCAGGCAAGCCACGACUCCUCAGCCACUGCCAGCUCUCCUCCAGCGCACCUUACCUUCCAGUCUCCUCAGCGAUCAUUCUUUCCAGCGAUCAUUCUUUCGGCAGUAACAGUCCUUUAAGACCACCCCCUAGAGAAUCUAACAUUUCCUUGUGGCACGUCACUGAGCCAUCAGGGUGGAGCCAAGAAAGAAGUGAGAAAACGGAAGAACAGAAGGUGUGUGCACAGGGUCAGCCCAGACUCAGCCUGAGCAAUCUUCACCCCAUGAAAGAAAACAAAGGCUCUACCCUGAGCACGGAGGGCAGAUUUGAUCGGCAUCACGGCUCUAGCCUUUCAGAGUGUCGACUCUUUGGGUUAGUCUCUGGGCUCCGAGAACCUGGCACAACAGAGGCAAAAGCACACUGCGCAAUUGCCGCCUCAGAUGGAACUGUGGGUGCAAAGGCCCUGAGGCAGGAACAACUUCAGGUAUAAUCAAGGAACGGCUUAGAGACCAGUGAAACUGGACUGAGAGGAAAUGGCAAGUGGAGUUUCAAGACAUGUCGGAAUCACGGACCCUUGAAGGACUUUGGAUUCCACCCAGUGCACGAUGGCCACCAAAAUUGGGAAGCGGGGAGAUGUUAAACUCUGUUUGACUUAGGGUGACUCUGUUCCUUGAGUAAGAAACCACAACCAAACCUAAUUCAUAACCACAGAAAGCUUGUGCUUGUACUUUUCUAAGAGAUAGCUGGGUCUCAGCCAAUCGGUGCAGCCCGGCUUCAGGUGGCUGUCUGACAGACCAAGCUAUAAAGAAGUACGCUGUCACUAUGCCUCAUUUUCACUACGUGCACGGUGUGAUAAGACACUGGUUAAAAUCAACUUGGAGAGAAAGGGUUUAUUUGGUUUGCAGGUUGAAAGGACAAAAAUAAAUAAAUAAAUAAAUAAAUAAAACA
rnacentral:lncRNA from 1 species